rnacentral:ncRNA from 1 species
CAAAAUCAGCGGGGAAAGAAGACCCUGUUGAGCUUGACUCUAGUCUGACUCUGUGAAGAGACAUUGAAGGUGUAGCACAGGUGGGAGGCUCGCAAGGGCCGGCAGUGAAAUACCACUACUUUGAUCGUUUCUUUACUUAUUCGGUCAAGCGGAAGGAACGGUCGAUGCGAUGCCGUUUGACGACACGCGUCGACUUCAGCUUUUGGUGCCAAGUCCACAGGACACGUGCCCGCGCUGACGGCGGUGGCACAUGCCGCGCCAACGCACUUCCAAGUGCGUCGAGCUGUCCAGGACGAUCCGCUCCGAAGACAGUGUCAGGCGGGGAGUUUGACUGGGGCAGUACAUCUGUUAAAUGGUAACGCAGGUGUCCCAAGGUGAGCUCAGCGAGGACAGAAACCUCGCCUAGAGUAAACGGGCAAAAGCUCACUUGAUUUUGAUUUCCAGUACGAAUAGAGACCGCGAAAGCGUGGCCUAUCGAUCCUUUUGAUUUUUACGGAUUUCAUGCAAGAUGUGUCAGAAAAGUUACCACAGGGAUAACUGGCUUGUGGCAGCCAAGCGUCCAUAGCGACGUUGCGUUUUGAUCGUCCGAUUUCGGCUCUUCCUAUCAUUGCGAAGCAGAAUUCCCCGAGCGUUGGAUUGUUCACCCACCAAUAGGAACGUGAGCUGGGUUUAGACCGUCGUGAGACAGGUUAGUUUUACCCUACUGAUUACUGAUCGUCGCAUUAGUAAUCCUGCUCAGUACGAGAGGAACCGCAGGAUCAAACAUUUGGUUCAUGCGCUUGGGUGAAAGGCCAGUGGCGCGAAGCUACCAUCUGAAAGAUAAUGACUGAACGCCUCUAAGUCAGAAACUUGCCUAUCAAUUGGCGACGAUACGUUGCGUCCGAAUUGUUGCGAGGUCGACGCUAGACCAGCCGUGUAGGUCUUGCAGAUAAAGCCGUGCUGUCGCUUGUGAUGGCAGCGCCGUCUGUUAGCAUGAUCAGGAUGCUGCGACGGCGGCGAAACCAGUAGUUACCGUAGGGUGAAACAGCAGUCGGACAGCAGAACUAUCCGCAGACGACGGAGUUACCGGUUGAGGUGUCGUGAUCAGUAGAGCAGUUGCAACACUGCGAUUUGUUGAGACUUUGCCUUUCAUUGGAUUGCUC